rnacentral:tRNA from 1 species
GGUAGUAUGGCUGAGCAAGCAUUGGACUGUAAAUCUGAAGACAGAGGUUGGAGCCCUCUUGCUACCA